rnacentral:rRNA from 1 species
GACGAACGCUGGCGGCGUGCUUAACACAUGCAAGUCGAGCGGUAAGGCCCUUUCGGGGGUACACGAGCGGCGAACGGGUGAGUAACACGUGGGUGACCUGCCCUUAGCUCUGGGAUAAGCCUGGGAAACUGGGUCUAAUACCGGAUAUGACUCCAUAACGCAUGUUGUGGGGUGGAAAGCCUUGUGCGGCUAGGGAUGGGCUCGCGGCCUAUCAGCUUGUUGGUGGGGUGAUGGCCUACCAAGGCGACGACGGGUAGCCGGCCUGAGAGGGCGACCGGCCACACUGGGACUGAGACACGGCCCAGACUCCUACGGGAGGCAGCGAGUGGGGAAUCUUGCGCAAUGGGCGAAAGCCUAGACGCAGCGACGCCGCGUGGGGAUGACGGCCUCGG